rnacentral:rRNA from 1 species
GCGACCCCAGGUCAGGUGGGAUCACCCGCUGAGUUUAA